UACGUAGGGACCGAGCGUUGUCCGGAAUCAUUGGGCGUAAAGAGCGUGUAGGCGGCCACUUAAGUCCUGCGUGAAAUCUUGCGGCUCAACCGCAAGCGGUCGUGGGAAACUGGGUGGCUAGAGUGCGGGAGAGGAGAGUGGAAUUCCUGGUGUAGCGGUGGAAUGCGCAGAUAUCAGGAGGAACACCGAUGGCGAAGGCAGGUCUCUGGGCCGCAACUGACGCUGAGGAGCGAAAGCAUGGGGAGCGAACAGG
rnacentral:rRNA from 1 species